UCUAGGUAUGUGGAUAGUCACUACACUUUACAGGCUGGCACUGUUUUUGAAUACUUAAUUUUAUGGUGCACUAAAUAUUUGUGAAUAUAUCUCGGUCUAUGAUCAGUGCCAAAGAAAAUGCCUGGCUUUUGUGAUCAACUGGCAUUUCACUUCCAUGUGUCCAGGCUUUUUCCAUCUGGAUGCAUUUUCCAUUCUUACCAAGAGCUUUGAGAUCUACACAGUCUCUUUGUAGGUGAGACAUAGAAGAAUAUCCUCAUCCAAACUGGAGUGUUUUAGGAAAUGAGCAGUUCAGAACCUGUGUAACAUAUGAAGCCCUUGCCGUUCACCUGUUGGUCUUGUGAUUUCUGUGCUCGCUGCACACUCGGUGAAGUGUGACAAUUCUUUUCAGCAGAUCCCAAACUGCUGGAGUCACAGAGCCCAUUUGGCAUCCCAGCCCUUGCAGCAGGUGUUUCAGGAGCCAGCCUGAUCCAGCCAAUAAGCAGCACAACAGAACGAUAAGCACAGCAGGGGCAGCCUCUUGAGGUCUGUGGCUUUUGGUGGCGCUUCUUUGCUGUGGGGACAGUGACACAGGGACUUUUCCCUGGUGCUUUUGCCCUGUUCCAGACACAAAAAGAAAAAAUGAAGAUGUUUAAGAAAAUACCUGUGUUCAUUCUGUUGUUUACAGGAUAUCUUUGUAAUGCUCAGAAGGAAGAGACAGCAUCAAUAGAACCAACAGUGGGG
rnacentral:lncRNA from 12 species